CCAAUUAUUCCGGAAUAGUAAAAAAUUUUCUAUUCCACCAUUUUGAUAUACUAGUGCUAUUUCAAUUCUUAAUUUCAAACUUUAAUUAAAAUUAUAAAAUAAAUUAAAAUUAGAUUAUAUAAAUAUAAUAUGUUAUAUAUUAUAAUGCAUUAUUUUUAUUAUAAAAUUAUUAAUUAUACUAUAUUAAUACAUAUUAUUUAUAUUUAAAUAUUAUAAUAAAAUUUAUAAUAAAUUAUAUUUA
rnacentral:lncRNA from 1 species